rnacentral:rRNA from 1 species
CUGGCUCAGGAUGAACGCUGGCGGCGUGCCUAAUACAUGCAAGUCGAACGAGGUAGCAAUACCGAGUGGCGAACGGGUGAGUAACACGUAGGUAACCUGCCCUUAAGCUUGGGAUACCCAGAGGAAACUUGGCUAAUACCGGAUAACAACAGAGAAGGCAUCUUCUUUGCUUGAAAGGCCCCUUCAAGGGUCACUUAAGGAUGGACCUGCGGCGCAUUAGCUAGUUGGUGAGAUAACAGCCCACCAAGGCGAGGAUGCGUAGCCGAACUGAGAGGUUGAUCGGCCACAUUGGAACUGAGACACGGUCCAAACUCCUACGGGAGGCAGCAGUAAGGAGUUUUCGGCAAUGGGGGAAACCCUGACCGAGCAACGCCGCGUGAGCGAUGACGGCCCUAUGGGUUGUUAAAAAGCUCUGUUGUAAGCCAUGAAUGAUAGCUUGAGGAAAUGCAAGUUAUUUGACGACAGCUUACCAGAAAGCCACGGCUAACUACGUGCCAGCAGCAGC